UACGGAGGGUGCGAGCGUUGUCCGGAAUCACUGGGCGUAAAGGGCGCGUAGGUGGCGCGACAAGUCAACGGUGAAAGCUCGGCGCUCAACGCCGAGUCGGCCGUCGAUACUGUUGGGCUUGAGCACUGUAGAGGCAGAUGGAAUUCCGGGUGUAGCGGUGGAAUGCGUAGAGAUCCGGAAGAACACCGGUGGCGAAGGCGGUCUGCUGGGCAGUAGCUGACACUGAGGAGCGAAAGCGUGGGGAGCGAACAGG
rnacentral:rRNA from 1 species